rnacentral:rRNA from 1 species
UACGUAGGGUGCAAGCGUUGUCCGGAAUUACUGGGUGUAAAGCGCGUGUAGGCGGUGAGUUAAGUCUGUUGUGAAAUCCCUCGGCUCAACCGAGGAACUGCGUCCGAUACUGGAUGGCUUGAAUUCGGGAGAGGGAUGCAGAAUUCCAGGUGUAGCGGUGAAAUGCGUAGAUAUCGCUUGGAACGCCGAAGGUGAAAACAGACUGCUGGGGUUGCGGCCG